GACGAACGCUGGCGGCGUGCCUAAUACAUGCAAGUAGGACGCAGUUGCGAACGGGUGAGUAACGCGUAGGUAACUGCCUAUUAGAGGGGGAUAACUAUUGGAAACGAUAGCUAAUACCGCAUACUAGUAGAUGGACCUGCGUUGUAUUAGCCAGUAGGUAGGGUAAUGGCCUACCUAGGCGACGAUACAUAGCCGACCUGGGAGGGUUAUCGGCCAAACUGGGAAGGGGGAACGGGCCAGACUCCUAAUGGGUGAAGCCGUAGGGAAUCUUGGGAAAUGGGGGGCAGCCUGAACGAGCAACGCCGCGGGAGUGAAGAAGGGUUUCGGGUUGUAAAGCUCUGUUAAUCGGGACGCGGUACCGGAAGAGAAAGCCACGGCUAACUACGUGCCAGCAGCCGCGGUAAUAC
rnacentral:rRNA from 1 species